AUUAACCAGAGACUGAUGGCAAAAGUGAAACAGCUGGAAAAGGUGGGGAAGAAGAUGCUCCAGAGUUUAAAGUGAACCUUGAAGAAUCCUCUCUGGACAACAGCACCACAGCAGCUCCCCAUGUCAACACCACCUCAGAGUUUGAAGUGGAGGCGACCAUGCUGUCUAAUGCAACUGCUACAGAGUCUGACCCUAAGAAAUAAACUUAACUACACUUUGUAUUCUGA